GAAUGAUCAAGGAGAAGGGCGUGGGAAGGGAAUAGGCUUCAGAAUAAAUUAUUUCCUUCAUUUAUUUGGAAACCAACAAAUGAAACCGGCUGUAGGAUGUGGGCAAGAAACUGUUUUCUUGCACCUUCUAAACAAAUGAACAAAACACUGCCAAACUUUCAAAAGAGCUCUUCUACUGGAAGAAAUCUAAAGAGAUGUCCAGAAGUAAAGGAGCACUGAAAAUCCCAAAAGGUUGGUCAUUCGUCAUAGCUGUUUACAUGUCAAAUAGCACAUCUGAAGUCCCAAAAGUGCACCGAAUAACCACAUGUAGUCAAAAUAUCUUUGAAAAUGUGAUAUAUGCUACUAAAAUAUCUCCAGAUUAUGACAACAGAUAAAGUACAGAGAAUAACUCUUCUAUAUGCUGCCUGAUAACUGAAGACAGGGAGACUUUCAGUGUGGUGAUUCCCAAAUUUUACUGCGUGAAGCCACUAAAAGUAAAAACUGCGUAUGUUUGAAGUCCAAAGAAGCUGAAUAACUAAAAAAUAAUGUCAAACAAAUUUUCUGAUUGCUGGGUAUUGUUUCUCCUGGAACACAAUGGAUUUCUCUGAGACACUGCCCAGUGGGGACAUGGCCUGUGACAGUGGGACUCAACUAGAAGAUUAUAUCUUCCUUUAUUCUCUGGAGUAUGCUGUGCCAUAAGCUGUCAAUUUAUCCUGGUAUUUUAUACUACCUUCAGAGCAUGAAAGUAGGUCACUGCAGCACAGGAAGGGCCUUGUACAGCAGAAAACAGCCACACAGCCACUGGGGAUGGAGCUGCAUGAGGAACAUAGAGUCAUACUGUGGUUUCAAAGCUGCCUCUGCAUGAGCAACACGGUUCAGCAGAUCCCAGCUCUGGAGACUGUAAUGUCACCCAUGGAGAUGCUGCGUGGGCAUUUCUGCAGCCAGGCUCCAGCACGUACGGCUGGAGAAAAGAAAUUAUCUCGUCUGUGGCAAGAAGGUGGGACAGGAACGUGCCGAAGUCCUGCUGCAGGAGGAUGGCAUGUACUGUUCCAGGGGAAGAUGACUGGAAUUCCUGAUCACUUGGAACCUGUGGGCACCCACAAAAGGCAGCAAAGUGGAAAUGUGCCACUGCCUUUCAAUGGACGUUGUAGUGCUGAAUGGAUGCUGACGGUGGACAAGGAGGUCUCCUCUGUAGCACUCCCAUUUCCUCAUCAGAAAGGAAGGCAAAGAGACUUGGCUAAUGGUAAAGAUGUUCAACUGGAUUUGAGGCUUUUUUUUUUUUUUUUUUUUUAAUGAGAGACUGGCUUCUUUUUUUGUCUUUAUCUCCAAAGGAGUAAAAUUGCUUUUCCUGACUGUAGAAAGAUGCUUCAGGAAUUUAAUGCAAUAGGGUCAUAUUCUGGCUAUCAAUAUUAAUGCUUUAAUCCUGGAUUUGGAAGUGCCUUCUAGAAUGAAACCAGAAAAUUCUGCACUUUUGAAGAGUUAUUAAUAAUACACGAGGAGCAAAAUGUAUCACAUUUGAGCUAUAUAUGUGGAAAGCUCCUAUUGAAACAAGUGUGUCUGAGAUGAUUUAAAGCUCCUGAAAGAAAUCCUGUAUAGGUAAUCUGUAGAUUUAUUGUUAAUUGUUAUCAAAUAGGUACCUAAGGAGCUAAAGGGUUUUAUUUGUGCAAUUGCUUCAUCUUUUCAAAGCGAAGAUGUAUUGAAAGCAGUGGAAGAGUAAAAAUAGAAUUAUUAUGUAAAAUUGUUUUGGAAAGAAAAUAAAGUGUUUUUCCAUCUCAACAUCCCACUUUGUUCCGUUCAGUGUGAUUCUCUUUCCUCUGGAAAAAAAAUCCCACUGAUUAUACACCUUAUGCCUAGUUUCCUUCACGGAAGGUAAUUUUAGGAAAUUAAUUUCCCUCAUUAGGUUGUGUAACUCAAUAUUAAUUUACUAAAAUGAUCAAGGGAAGGGGAGGUAGAUUCAUCUUUAAGUAUUAACAUAUGUCAGUUAGAAACCUGGGAAGUUUAUUGUUUCUGUCAGUUGGGAGAAUUUUCUUAAGCAGCCUUAUUUGAAAGAUGGUCUAUAAAGUCCCUAAUAAAUAUCUUUAU